rnacentral:rRNA from 1 species
CAAUAGCGUAUAUUAAAGUUGUUGCAGUUAAAAGCUCGUAGUCGGAUUUUGGCAUCACGCCGUACUGUCUGCCGAUUGGUAAGUACGGUUUGGCGGGUGCUCUCCUUCCGGAGGCUCGUUCCCUUCUUCAUUGAAGGGUUCGAUGGUUCCGGGUCUUUUACUUUGAAAAAUUAGAGUGUUCAAAGCAGGCCUAUGCUCUGAAUAGGUUAGCAUGGAAUAAUAGAAUAGGACUUUGGUUCUAUUUUGUUGGUCUCGGGACGGGAGUAAUGAUUAAGAGGAACAGUUGGGGGCAUUGCGUAUUUCAUUGUCAGAGGUGAAAUUCUUGGAUUUAUGAAAGACGAACUUCUGCGAAAGCAUUUGCCAAGGAUGUUUUCAUUAAUCAAGAACGAAAGUUGGGGGCUCGAAGAUGAUUAGAUACCA